UUAAGCGACUAAGCGUACACGGUGGAUGCCCUGGCAGUCAGAGGCGAUGAAGGACGUGCUAAUCUGCGAUAAGCGUCGGUAAGGUGAUAUGAACCGUUAUAACCGGCGAUUUCCGAAUGGGGAAACCCAGUGUGAUUCGUCACACUAUCAUUAACUGAAUCCAUAGGUUAAUGAGGCGAACCGGGGGAACUGAAACAUCUAAGUACCCCGAGGAAAAGAAAUCAACCGAGAUUCCCCCAGUAGCGGCGAGCGAACGGGGAGCAGCCCAGAGCCUGAAUCAGUGUGUGUGUUAGUGGAAGCGUCUGGAAAGGCGCGCGAUACAGGGUGACAGCCCCGUACACAAAAAUGCACAUGCUGUGAGCUCGAUGAGUAGGGCGGGACACGUGGUAUCCUGUCUGAAUAUGGGGGGACCAUCCUCCAAGGCUAAAUACUCCUGACUGACCGAUAGUGAACCAGUACCGUGAGGGAAAGGCGAAAAGAACCCCGGCGAGGGGAGUGAAAAAGAACCUGAAACCGUGUACGUACAAGCAGUGGGAGCACGCUUAGGCGUGUGACUGCGUACCUUUUGUAUAAUGGGUCAGCGACUUAUAUUCUGUAGCAAGGUUAACCGAAUAGGGGAGCCGAAGGGAAACCGAGUCUUAACUGGGCGUUAAGUUGCAGGGUAUAGACCCGAAACCCGGUGAUCUAGCCAUGGGCAGGUUGAAGGUUGGGUAACACUAACUGGAGGACCGAACCGACUAAUGUUGAAAAAUUAGCGGAUGACUUGUGGCUGGGGGUGAAAGGCCAAUCAAACCGGGAGAUAGCUGGUUCUCCCCGAAAGCUAUUUAGGUAGCGCCUCGUGAAUUCAUCUCCGGGGGUAGAGCACUGUUUCGGCAAGGGGGUCAUCCCGACUUACCAACCCGAUGCAAACUGCGAAUACCGGAGAAUGUUAUCACGGGAGACACACGGCGGGUGCUAACGUCCGUCGUGAAGAGGGAAACAACCCAGACCGCCAGCUAAGGUCCCAAAGUCAUGGUUAAGUGGGAAACGAUGUGGGAAGGCCCAGACAGCCAGGAUGUUGGCUUAGAAGCAGCCAUCAUUUAAAGAAAGCGUAAUAGCUCACUGGUCGAGUCGGCCUGCGCGGAAGAUGUAACGGGGCUAAACCAUGCACCGAAGCUGCGGCAGCGACACUAUGUGUUGUUGGGUAGGGGAGCGUUCUGUAAGCCUGCGAAGGUGUGCUGUGAGGCAUGCUGGAGGUAUCAGAAGUGCGAAUGCUGACAUAAGUAACGAUAAAGCGGGUGAAAAGCCCGCUCGCCGGAAGACCAAGGGUUCCUGUCCAACGUUAAUCGGGGCAGGGUGAGUCGACCCCUAAGGCGAGGCCGAAAGGCGUAGUCGAUGGGAAACAGGUUAAUAUUCCUGUACUUGGUGUUACUGCGAAGGGGGGACGGAGAAGGCUAUGUUGGCCGGGCGACGGUUGUCCCGGUUUAAGCGUGUAGGCUGGUUUUCCAGGCAAAUCCGGAAAAUCAAGGCUGAGGCGUGAUGACGAGGCACUACGGUGCUGAAGCAACAAAUGCCCUGCUUCCAGGAAAAGCCUCUAAGCAUCAGGUAACAUCAAAUCGUACCCCAAACCGACACAGGUGGUCAGGUAGAGAAUACCAAGGCGCUUGAGAGAACUCGGGUGAAGGAACUAGGCAAAAUGGUGCCGUAACUUCGGGAGAAGGCACGCUGAUAUGUAGGUGAAGUCCCUCGCGGAUGGAGCUGAAAUCAGUCGAAGAUACCAGCUGGCUGCAACUGUUUAUUAAAAACACAGCACUGUGCAAACACGAAAGUGGACGUAUACGGUGUGACGCCUGCCCGGUGCCGGAAGGUUAAUUGAUGGGGUCAGCGCAAGCGAAGCUCUUGAUCGAAGCCCCGGUAAACGGCGGCCGUAACUAUAACGGUCCUAAGGUAGCGAAAUUCCUUGUCGGGUAAGUUCCGACCUGCACGAAUGGCGUAAUGAUGGCCAGGCUGUCUCCACCCGAGACUCAGUGAAAUUGAACUCGCUGUGAAGAUGCAGUGUACCCGCGGCAAGACGGAAAGACCCCGUGAACCUUUACUAUAGCUUGACACUGAACAUUGAGCCUUGAUGUGUAGGAUAGGUGGGAGGCUUUGAAGUGUGGACGCCAGUCUGCAUGGAGCCGACCUUGAAAUACCACCCUUUAAUGUUUGAUGUUCUAACGUUGACCCGUAAUCCGGGUUGCGGACAGUGUCUGGUGGGUAGUUUGACUGGGGCGGUCUCCUCCUAAAGAGUAACGGAGGAGCACGAAGGUUGGCUAAUCCUGGUCGGACAUCAGGAGGUUAGUGCAAUGGCAUAAGCCAGCUUGACUGCGAGCGUGACGGCGCGAGCAGGUGCGAAAGCAGGUCAUAGUGAUCCGGUGGUUCUGAAUGGAAGGGCCAUCGCUCAACGGAUAAAAGGUACUCCGGGGAUAACAGGCUGAUACCGCCCAAGAGUUCAUAUCGACGGCGGUGUUUGGCACCUCGAUGUCGGCUCAUC
rnacentral:rRNA from 1 species